UCCCCAACUCAAUGGCAUUUGCAACCUGCACUUUGAGGUGCAGAGCUAACACAAGCAAUUCCCCCAGACUGAGUUGCAGGGAGUUUUGCAACAGCACCGCCACAAUUUGUUCUCCCAGUGGUGUUGUUUUUGGUGGUGGGUUACUCUCAGGCUCUGUCAAGUUAAUGAGAGGAGUCUGUUCACUUUAAGGGAUGAGGAAGGAUUUGACCCGGAAGAUGAAGAUAAGGCAAAGACAGCAAUCCUUUCCAAGCUAGUGGAUGUGAUCUUGAUGAGGGUAAGGAAUCUUUCUGCUCAACAGAUCUGGAUCUACCUCAUAAAUCACUACGGGCCUCCAAGUUUUGAAGAUCUGGUGGACAAGCUGCAGGAGCAUUGGGAUGACCUGGAAGGCUGCGCUGUGGGAUUCUCUGAAGCAUGCAAGAUUGAUGCUCUUUGUGAAUGUUUUGAUGACAGAGUUUUCACAGAAAUCGUCACGGCAGUGAGGGUAGCAGCCACAAUGUUCGAACAUGCUGAAACUCUUCUCCGCUCAGAGCUCACAUAGUCGAGAGUUGAGGCAAGGGUUGAAGAAGCUUCUGCAGAUGGCCAUGGUCGAAGGUGAGGGUGCGGCGAGGACGUGGACACAGAAUUCAAGGACGCCCAAGCAGUAGUCAAGGAAGCUUACAAAGUGAUGGAACUGACAAUCUUGGAGCUCGUCGUGCUUCAACAUGCUAUGGCUGUGGAUUGGAAGGGCAUCUCAAGAAAGAUUGUUGAGUUCUGCAGUGAGAUUACAGCAAAUUUUGCAGGUUCAGCUCAAAUAGAACAGCAGGAGACAGUCACAGACGAGGAUGUGAAAAACACCUGAUAGAGGAUGAGCAAGCGUUCUCCAAGCUCAAGCGCUCACUAGCAGGUCGAGUUCGAGUUUGAAAUGGUGGAGUUGUUGAAGUCUCUGGAAAUGGUGAUGCAGUGGUGCAAGUUGGUUCGAAGAGCUUGCCUUUGAAUAAUGGGUGGUUUGUCCCACAACUUGUCAAGAACUUAGUUUCAAUAGUUAAGUUUACUUAUGCUGGGAUGAA